UGGAAGUGGUGCAGUGUAGCGGCGGUGGAGGACGGUAAUGGCGCCGGAGUGCAUACUGGCGUUCAGGAAAGAAGCAGGAAUGCCUCCUUGACACUGAGCCAGAUGAGACCAAAUGUGCCCAAGGCAGAGACAUUUACUAGAAUCUUCAAGGUUCACAGUCACAUUCAUCGGUGAUGAACAGAACAUAAACUCUUCUUAAAAUAUGCAGGCCCCACAAGCAAACUCCAACAUCUGUGUCUAUUCUAUUCCUGCAGUAGAAAAACAGAGCUACAUAUCUACAGCGACAGAAGGAAAAGUAUCAAGGAAUGGUUUUGCUUUUUUAUAAUAUAGACAUAAUUGCUUUGUUUUGCCUUUUAUAAUAUAUACAUAUAAUUCUUUUACAUUAUAAGAAGAUGU